rnacentral:rRNA from 1 species
CAGCAGCCGCGGGAAUACAGAGGUUGCAAGCGUUAUCCGGAAUGAUUGGGCGUAAAGCGUGCGCAGGCGGUUUUGUAAGACAGGCGUGAAAUCCCCGGGCUCAACCUGGGAAUGGCGCUUGUGACUGCAAAGCUAGAGUGCGGCAGAGGGGGAUGGAAUUCCGCGUGUAGCGGUGAAAUGCGUAGAGAUGUGGAGGAACACCAGUGGCGAAGGCGACUCUCUGGUCUGUAACUGACGCUGGGGAGCGAAAGCGUGGGGAGCGAACAGGAUUAGAUACCCCAGUAGUCCCUGUCUCUUAUAC